GAGAUAGCUGGUUCUCUCCGAAAUAGCUUUAGGGCUAGCCUCGGAAUUAAGAAUGAUGGAGGUAGAGCACUGUUUGGACUAGGGGCCCGUCUUGGGUUACCGAAUUCAGAUAAACUCCGAAUGCCAUUCAUUUAUGUCCGGGAGUCAGACAGUGAGUGAUAAGAUCCAUUGUCGAAAGGGAAACAGCCCAGACCACCAGCUAAGGUCCCCAAAUAUAUGUUAAGUGGAAAAGGAUGUGAGGGUGCACAAACAACUAGGAUGUUGGCUUAGAAGCAGCCAUCAUUUAAAGAGUGCGUAAUAGCUCACUAGUCGAGUGCCCUUGCGCCGAAAAUGUACCGGGGCUAAACAUAUUACCGAAGCUGUGGAUAGAACCAUUAGGUUCUAUGGUAGGAGAGCGUUCUAAGGG
rnacentral:rRNA from 1 species